CUUAUAGCUAGGAUAGCCUUUUGCCUAUCCCACACAUGCUUAAACUCACUCACUCCCCACAUAAACAAGUAAUUUAGGUAUAUACAAAACCAUGCCAGCAAAAAUAUUUUGAUACAUGGUAAAUGUGUUCGGGAAAAUACAUAUGCAUUUUUGUUUGCAGGAUUCUUGCAUAUGUGAGGUUUAACUUUCAGUGUGUGAAAACCUGUGAAUGAAUAAGUGAGUAUGAGUGAUUGAAUGUGUAAUGUGUAAUUUCUCAAUUUGUAUGUAUUUGUGUGUAGCAUGUGAAUUAAUACAUGUAUUUUAUCAAUACUGUAUAUGGAUAUGAUAUGGUAUGUGUGAUGUCUUCACGCAUGAUUGUAGCGGGAGUACAUAGCUUGACGUGUAGUUUGUAAUUGCAUAACUGACCUUUGUGGUAGCAAAAAUGCAAUGUGUAAAAUAAUCGAUGUAGUACACAAAUGCAGUAAUGUAGUGUGAUUAUCAAUGUAUUUCUGUAUGAAUGCAUUACUGCAGUGUGCUAAGGCAAUCCUGUAAUGUUAUUGUAUACAUAUGUAAAUAUUGUGUUUUCUAUAUUUAUCUAUGUAUUGUAUUGAUGAAUGUGGGUAGUGUGAGAAAAUGUAUCUACAAUGUUCCUGGGCACUGCAUUAUGUUUGGAAAUGUGUAAUUUGGUGAGUGAAUGGGGUGUAAAUGUUGUUUAGGAAUAUAAUGAAUUAGAAAUUUUUGUUUUCUUCGGCAAUGUUUGGACUGUUGAGUUUUUCUUAAAUCAAACUUUAAUGAACAUAAACCUAAAAAUGAGCCCAAAAAGAACUAUAACACCCUUCAGUCUGCCUUUAACAGGAACAAACAUUUGUAUUUCUUGAUAUUUACUAUGUUCUGCUUUUUGUUUCUCUUUUGUAAAAUCUAAUUAUACUCCUUGAAAAUAUCUUACGUGGAUUGUGACUAUUUUUAACGGAACUGAAUCAAAAGAACCACCCCACAUUUAAUGAUAGUGUUGUUUCCUUUGGUCUAAAGUGAACUCAUCAUUUCAGAAAGUUCCAAAUGUAUUCUGGUUACUUUGUGGCUUCCUCCCACUUUAGCUGAUUGCGACUUCCUCAAACCUAUAGAUACAAUUGCUACCUUAUGUCAAAAUGAUUUAAACCCUGAAAAUG